rnacentral:rRNA from 1 species
GACGAACUCUGGCGGCGUGCCUAAUACAUGCAAGUCGAACGCAUUUUCUUUCACCGUAGCUUGCUACACCGACAGAAACUGAGUGGCGAACGGGUGAGUAACACGUGGGUAACCUGCCCAUCAGCGGGGGAUAACACUUGGAAACAGGUGCUAAUACCGCAUAAUUCCAUUUACCGCAUGGAAGAUAGAUGAAAGGCGCUUUUGCGUCACUGAUGGAUGGACCCGCGGUGCAUUAGCUAGUUGGUGGGGUUACGGCCUACCAAGGCUGCGAUGCAUAGCCGCCCUGAGAGGGUGAUCAGCCACACUGGGACUGUGACACGGCCCAGACUCCUACGGGAGGCAGCAGUAGGGAAUCUUCGGCCAUGGACGCAAGUCUGACCGAGCAACGCCGCGUGAGUGUAGAAGGUUUUCGGGUCGUAAAACUCUGUUUUUAGGGAAGAACAAGGAUGAGAGUGGAAAGUUCAUCCCUUGACGGUAUCUAGCCAGAAAGCCACGGCUAACUACGUG